rnacentral:lncRNA from 1 species
CUGCGCAGGCCGCCCUAUUCCGCGCCCUCAGGGCGUCAGUAUCAGCCUGAGGCUGGAUACCCCCGCUGGGCCCGGAUGACCCCGCUGGGCCCGGAGCAUCCUCCGGCGCUGCCCUCCCAGAGCCACGCAGAGGCUGAGGUGGCGCGGGGGCGGCCCCGGCUCCGCGAGAAGCGGCGGCAGCGAGGGCUGGAGGACCCGGGCUGCGGGGCUCCGGGGCGUCUGGCCUGGGUGGGACUGAGCCCAUCCAGGGACUGGGACUCUGGGAUUCUGGUGUAGGUGGAUCCGGGGCAGGCUCAGGACCAAGUCCCUCUCCUUCCACCAAGGAGCGCCCAGAGGCCGGCGGGAGCUCCAGGUUCACCUCCUCCUCCUCCAGGAAAUCCCACUUCCAGCUAGAUGUCUGCAUGAACUACUGAAAGCUGCUGAGUGUCUUGCAGCAGGUGAGCUGUGGCCAGAGCUCAAGGAUGAAGGGGACUCCCUCACUCUGUGACUGUGAAGAGGAAGCCUGAGGUGUAGCAGGCCCAGGCCCCAGAAGUAUGGAAAAAAUGAGGCCAUUUUCAAUCCAGAGGAAGACCUUCUAAAAGAGGUGAUGGAUGGGAGAGUGCUGACAUACUAUGUGAAGCUACUAUUUGGAGUUGGACACGAGUGCAUGUGACCUUGUGCCACAGCGGGAAUGUGAGCUGGGUGACAAAUGGAGAUUUGGACUUGUGAUAAUUGGCCUCUGUGUCAUUGUGUGGAAGACUGA